rnacentral:rRNA from 1 species
GACGAACGCUGGCGGCGUGCUUAACACAUGCAAGUCGAACGGAAAGGCCCUGCUUUUGUGGGGUGCUCGAGUGGCGAACGGGUGAGUAACACGUGAGUAACCUGCCCUUGACUUUGGGAUAACUUCAGGAAACUGGGGCUAAUACCGGAUAGGAGCUCCUGCUGCAUGGUGGGGGUUGGAAAGUUUCGGCGGUUGGGGAUGGACUCGCGGCUUAUCAGCUUGUUGGUGGAGUAGUGGCUUACCAAGGCUUUGACGGGUAGCCGGCCUGAGAGGGUGACCGGCCACAUUGGGACUGAGGUACGGCCCAGACUCCUACGGGAGGCAGCAGUGGGGAAUAUUGCACAAUGGGCGGAAGCCUGAUGCAGCAACGCCGCGUGCGGGAUGACGGCCUUCGGGUUGUAAACCGCUUUCGCCUGUGACGAAGCGUGAGUGACGGUAAUGGGUAAAGAAGCACCGGCUAACUACGUG